rnacentral:rRNA from 1 species
AUUGAACGCUGGCGGCAUGCCUUACACAUGCAAGUCGAACGGUAGCAGGUCUUCGGAUGCUGACGAGUGGCGAACGGGUGAGUAAUACAUCGGAACGUGCCUAGUAGUGGGGGAUAACUACUCGAAAGAGUGGCUAAUACCGCAUUAGAUCUACGGAUGAAAGCAGGGGAUCGCAAGACCUUGUGCUACUAGAGCGGCCGAUGGCAGAUUAGGUAGUUGGUGGGAUAAAAGCUUACCAAGCCGACGAUCUGUAGCUGGUCUGAGAGGACGAUCAGCCACACUGGGACUGAGACACGGCCCAGACUCCUACGGGAGGCAGCAGUGGGGGAUUUUGGACAAUGGGCGCAAGCCUGAUCCAGCAAUGCCGCGUGCAGGAUGAAGGCCUUCGGGUUGUAAACUGCUUUUGUACGGAACGAAAAGCCCUGGGUUAAUACCCUGGGGUCAUGACGGUACCGUAAGAAUAAGCACCGGCUAACUACGUGCCAGCCGCCGCCGUAA